GACAAAAAGAAAGAAACCAGACUCCCGCUCCCACGGCAGCUCAGACUUCUGCUCCUUCCAAGUACCACCGUUCACGUUCUGGAGGUGCAAGAGAUGAGAGAUACCGAUCAGAUAUCCACACGGAAGCAGUCCAAGCUGCUCUGGCGAAACACAAAGAACAGAAAAUGGCUUUGCCCAUGCCCACCAAGAGGCGGUCCACGUUUGUCCAGUCUCCUGCGGAUGCCUGCACACCUCCGGAGAAUGUCUCUGCUCCUCCUGACGUCACUGCGACUACCUCUUCCUCCUCUUCCUUACUGCGUCCCGCCAACAUUGACCUGCCCCCAUCCGGCAUAGUCAAAGGCAUGCACAAAGGCUCCAACAGGUCCAGCCUCAUGGACACA
rnacentral:lncRNA from 1 species